rnacentral:rRNA from 1 species
UACGAAGGGGGCUAGCGUUGCUCGGAAUUACUGGGCGUAAAGCGCACGUAGGCGGUCUUUUUAAGUCGGGGGGUGAAAUCCUGGAGCUCAACUCCAGAACUGCCUUCGAUACUGGAAGACUUGAGUCCGGGAGAGGUGAGUGGAACUGCGAGUGUAGAGGUGAAAUUCGUAGAUAUUCGCAAGAACACCAGUGGCGAAGGCGGCUCACUGGCCCGGUACUGACGCUGAGGCACGAAAGCGUGGGGGAGCAAACAGGG